rnacentral:rRNA from 1 species
GAGUUUGAUCCUGGCUCAGAUUGAACGCUGGCGGCAUGCUUUACACAUGCAAGUCGAACGGCAGCGGGGGCUUCGGUCCGCCGGCGAGUGGCGAACGGGUGAGUAAUGCAUCGGAACGUACCCAGUCGUGGGGGAUAACGCAGCGAAAGCUGUGCUAAUACCGCAUACGUCCUGAGGGAGAAAGCGGGGGACCUUCGGGCCUCGCGCGAUUGGAGCGGCCGAUGUCGGAUUAGCUAGUUGGUGGGGUAAAGGCUCACCAAGGCGACGAUCCGUAGCUGGUCUGAGAGGAUGAUCAGCCACACUGGGACUGAGACACGGCCCAGACUCCUACGGGAGGCAGCAGUGGGGAAUUUUGGACAAUGGGGGCAACCCUGAUCCAGCCAUGCCGCGUGAGUGAAGAAGGCCUUCGGGUUGUAAAGCUCUUUCAGUCGGGAAGAAACGGAGCGCUCUAACAUAGCGCUCUACUGACGGUACCGACAGAAGAAGCACCGGCUAACUACGUGCCAGCAGC